rnacentral:rRNA from 1 species
CCUACGGGAGGCAGCAGUGAGGAAUAUUGGUCAAUGGACGAGAGUCUGAACCAGCCAAGUAGCGUGAAGGAUGACUGCCCUAUGGGUUGUAAACUUCUUUUAUAUGGGAAUAAAAUGUUCCACGUGUGGGAUUUUGUAUGUACCAUAUGAAUAAGGAUCGGCUAACUCCGUGCCAGCAGCCGCGGUAAUACGGAGGAUCCGAGCGUUGUACGGAUUUAUUGGGUUUAAAGGGAGCGUAGGUGGAUUGUUAAGUCAGUUGUGAAAGUUUGCGGCUCAACCGUAAAAUUGCAGUUGAAACUGGCAGGCUUGAGUACAGUAGAGGUGGGCGGAAUUCGUGGUGUAGCGGUGAAAUGCUUAGAUAUCACGAAGAACUCCGAUUGCGAAGGCAGCUCACUGGACUGCAACUGACACUGAGGCUCGAAAGUGUGGGUAUCAAACAGGAUUAGAUACCCUAGUAGUC